GGACCUGCCCAGUGAUAUAAUACAUUUAACGGCCGCAGUACCCUGACUGUGCAAAGGUAGCAUAAUCAUUUGCCCUAUAAUUGAGGGCUAGUAUGAAUGGUUUGACAAGAACAUAGCUGUCUCUUAUAAGAUAACUAAAAAUUAAAUUUUAGGUGAAGAUGCCUAAAUUAGACUAAAAGACGAGAAGACCCUGUUGAGCUUUAAAAACUUGAAGGUUGACUAGAAAGUUUUUUUGGUUGGGGCGACCUAGGAACAUUUAAAGCUUCUUUUAUUACUUAAAACGUUCGGUUAUGAUCCAAUAGAAUUGAUUAACGAAAUAAGCUACCACAGGGAUAAC
rnacentral:rRNA from 1 species